UACAGAGGUGGCGAGCGUUUAUUCGGAAUUAUUGGGCGUAAAGGGCGCGUAGGCGGCCACGCAAGUCCUGGGUGAAAUCCCUCGGCUCAACUGAGGAACUGCCUUUGAAACUGUCUGGCUUGAGGCCGGGAGGGGGUAGCGGAAUUCCCAGUGUAGCGGUGAAAUGCGUAGAUAUUGGGAGGAACACCAGUGGCGAAGGCGGCUACCUGGACCGGUUCUGACGCUGAUGCGCGAAAGCGUGGGUAGCAAACAGG
rnacentral:rRNA from 1 species